UGUGUUUGUGUCUGACUGUGUGUGUGUUUGUGAGUGUGUGUGUGUGUUUGUGUCUGUGUAUGUGUCUGACUGUGUGUGUGUGUGUUUGUGUCUGACUGUGUUUGUGUCUGUGUAUGUGUCUGACUGUGUGUGUGUGUGUGUUUGUGUCUGACUGUGUGUGUGUAUGUGACUGUGUGUGUCUGUGUGUGUUUGUGUUUGUGUCUGACUGUGUGUGUCUGACUGUGUGUGUGUUUGUGUCUGACUGUGUAUGUGUGUGUGUGUGUGUGUCUGACUGUGUGUGUGUGUGUUUGUGUCUGACUGUGUAUGUGUCUGACUGUGUGUGUGUGUGUUUGUGUAUGUGUCUGACUGUGUGUGUGUGUGUGUGUUUGUGUCUGACUGUGUGUGUGUGUGUUUGUGUCUGAC